rnacentral:rRNA from 1 species
AUUGAACGCUGGCGGUAUGCAUAACACAUGCAAGUCGAACGGUAGCAGGUCUAGCUUGCUAGAUGCUGACGAGUGGCGGACGGGUGAGUAGCGCGUAGGAAUCUGCCUUAUAGUGGGGGAUAACCUGGGGAAACGUCAGGCUAAUACCGCAUAAGCCCGAGGGUGAAAGUGUGGGACCUGAAAGGCCACAUGCUAUAAGCUGAGCCUGCGUAGGAUUAGCUAGUUGGUGAGGUAAUGGCUUACCAAGUCUACGAUCGUUAACUGGUCUGAGAGGAUGAUCAGUCAGACUGGAACUGAGACACGGUCCAGACUCCUACGGGAGGCAGCAGUGAGGAAUCUUCCACAAUGGGCGAAAGCCUGAUGGAGCAACGCCGCGUGCAGGAUGAAGGCC